ensembl:lncRNA
ACUGACCAGAUAGAUGGUGGUGGUGGUGGUGACUUUCACUCUGAUCGGCUGUGCAUCGCUUGCCCCUCUGCCAACUCAACACCGAUUUUCUCCCCGCUCACGCAGUUUCUCCAGCAGCGACUUUUCCUCCUCAUUUCUUCCUCCAGGCACAGACAGACUACGGAGGUGCUGCCGGCAGCCUCUAUUUGCGGAAGGACAGGGAAACAACCAGCAGGUGGUGCACGCAGCCCUCCAAGGCCUUCUGGCUUGUGGGAAGCAAAGAUCCAAAGGCCUCAACUAAUUUUCUCCUCCAUGGAUCCUUCCCCAGAAUCAUGGAAGUGCAGAAUAUCAGAGCUAGAAGAACUCUUGGGGAAAACUCUCAUAGGCCAACUUGCGGACUGUGUGCAGGUGAGGGGUCUGAGUGUUUGCGGGGCCAUGCCGUGUCAAGGGCACCAGGCGGUUCACGGCUGUGCCUCCUCAUUCUCUGUUGUGUCCUUCAGCCCAGCCUUUGCAAAAGGAGCAGCCACUCCACCUCCUCGCAGACAGGCGUUGUCUGUAGUGAUGUGGAAGUGGUGCCGUUUCUUCCAAACCUCUUGAAGCUCUGAGCCCUGAGAUGACGCUGUGUGCUUUCAGAUACACGCAGAGCCUGCCUCACCCACCCGAGCACCCCACGUAGAGAAGCAGCUAUGCGCUUUAUCCCACCCACGGCAGCUGAGCUGGGCCACCCAGGACGACUUUGCGCUCUCUUAAUUCUGGAGCAGGCUGAGAGGGCAGGAAGGGCGGGCAGGUUCUGGAUGAGCAGUCAGGUGCCCUGCCUGCCUGCAACCUGCCGUACAGCACUUCCUCCUGCUGAACCUCCGUGUCUCCCUCUGUGAAAGAGGAAGGUGGCCGGGAGCAGUGGUCGUCAGCCCGGGCUCCAUGAACUUCCUGAACUGGGGUGCACAGUUGUGUGUGCAGUCACCCGGGGACAGUGUACACAGCUUUCCCCAGAUCCUCCCAGGGCUGCUGGUAUGGACCGAAACAUCUGUCCCCAAAGCCCACAUGUUGAAGUCCUAACCCCCAAGGUGACUAUGUUUGGACAUAGGGCCUUGAGGGAGGUAACCAAUGUUGAUAGAGGGUGGGUCUCUAAUCCAGUAGGACUGGUGGCCUUGCAAGAAGAGACACUAGAGUUCUCUGUCUCCCAGCCACGUGAGGACACAGCAAGAAGACAGCCAUCUGCAAGCCAGGAGAGUACCUUCACCCAGAACUGAAUUUUCUGACAGCUUGAUCUUGAUCUUCUAGCCUCCAUAACUAUAAGAAAAUUUAUUUUUGUUGUUUAAUACACCCAUCCUGUGGCAUUUUGCUACAGCGCUCCAUAACCCAAAGAAGAGUCAGAACGAAUUCUGUGACCAACUUCCUUUGUUGAUAGAUAUUUUUUAUUGUAAAUGACUUUUCAGGGUGCACUGCCUGGGGUAGUGUAAUUGGGUCAAUGGUUAUGUUGAGGUUUUUCUUAUAAUUUGGGAUUUUUAUGUGUUUUGAUAGAAAAAUCUCAUUUGUAUUUAUUUAUGCAUGCAUCAGUCUAGUACACACAUCAAAAAAGGAAAACAUAAAUAAAUAAAUCAGUUAAUUUAUUCCUAGCA